rnacentral:rRNA from 1 species
CCGCCAGACUCCUACGGGAGGCAGCAGUGGGGAAUAUUGCACAAUGGGGGAAACCCUGAUGCAGCGACGCCGCGUGAGUGAGGAAGUAUUUCGGUAUGUAAAGCUCUAUCAGCAGGGAAGAAAAUGACGGUACCUGACUAAGAAGCCCCGGCUAACUACGUGCCAGCAGCCGCGGUAAUACGUAGGGGGCAAGCGUUAUCCGGAUUUACUGGGUGUAAAGGGAGCGUAGACGGUGAGACAAGUCUGAAGUGAAAGCCCGGGGCUCGACCCCGGGACUGCUUUGGAAACUGCCUGACUGGAGUGCUGGAGAGGCAAGCGGAAUUCCUAGUGUAGCGGUGAAAUGCGUAGAUAUUAGGAGGAACACCAGUGGCGAAGGCGGCUUACUGGACUGUAACUGACGUUGAGGCUCGAAAGCGUGGGGAGCAAACAGGAUUAGAUACCCCCGUA